UAUUGCUUAGGGAGACCACGGAAGAUAUAUUAUCUGGCUUAGGGAGACCGCUGGAUUAAGGCGACCUUUUUUGGUCUCCCUAAUAUUUUGACCUCAUGAGUAUUGCAAAUGUCGUGUUUUUGGUAAAUUAACAGUCUUCCAUUAGAUAAAAGUGAUGUUUUUGUCUGCGUUUUAACAUUAAAAAGUUGUCAAAUUUCUAUCAUAUUACCUGAAAAAGAAAAGAAUGUAUUACCUGUGUAUAAUUUCAAAGGAUAUUUUUUCAGCAUUGUGGAGACCACGGAAAACGUGCAAUUUAACAAAAAAUCUUGCAUAUAUAAUUUUUUCCGCGUUAAAUUAUUUUAAAUGAGUGUUUCUUCGACUUAUUUUUCCAUUUUUUAUGUUAAAAAACUAAAGAGGAAAAAUAUUCUAAAUUUAUGCAUCAAGUUCUGAAUUCUUAGCAAGUGCUUUCCGUCAUUUGUUCCGAAUACCAUCGGAAUGCCUCUUCAGUUUUCAGAAAAUGACCUUUCAACACCGUAAUUGUUGAGAAAGAGUUGUAUUGCGGUAAGUAACUUAAAUAAUAUAGUAAUUUUUUUUUAAAUACACAAGGCAAGCAUUGAUUUUUUUGGGAGGGGGGGGGAGGGGGGGGGAGGGGGGGUGUAGUAAUUUUACUUUGAAGAAGGAAAGAUUAUAAAUACGUAUUUGAAACUGAAGGAAAUUCGAAAUAAAGUUGAUAUCGGUAUAUUCUUUUACACAAGUCCACAAACAAAAUUUAAAGACAAAGCCGAAUAUAGAAAAAAGCAUCGCAAGCUGAAGCACCUAUUCAAGCUAUAUGCUUGUGUCCCCUCAGAAAUAACGUUUACCUCUUAGUCUUAUGAUCAUUUCUUUCUUUUGCCUUAUGAUCUUUUUUCAUUUGCUUAUCACCAAUUUUUUGUUGGUAGCCUCGCCCAACCUGAAUCUGAUAGGGUGUUUUGGUUGUACAACCCCCCCCCCUUUUUUCAAUUACCUUACCCCUACACUGUACAUGAAAACUUCAAGGUGUUGGAAAUUCAUUUUUUUCAUAACAUUAUUUAUUUUGUAUUUCUAUUAAUCAACAAUUCAUUGUCGCAGUCUAUAACCUGUAGUUCCCUGCAUUAUUUUCAGCAAUAUUCGGUGACAGAAAUAAAACAAUCAUUUGAGAUUUAACCCCCCCCCCCCCCCCCAUCCCCAAACAAAUGAAACUGAAAAAUUUUUGGUUGUGUUAACCCCACUUUUAACUGAAAUAUUAAUUUUUUUUAUAUUAUUUAAUUUCGUUUAUAUUUUUAUAAGUUUAUUUCGUAUUUUUCCUUUUAAAAUUAAGUCAACAAAUAUGUGCAUGAGUUAAUAAACUAGCCUGGUUCCCUGCAUUUUCAGUGACAGACUCAGAGAACCAGAAUAUUUCAGACAACGAGGAGGCUCAAAACAGUAUUGAGAUCAGGCUCAUCAAACUGCACGUGACAUUUAGUGCGUCUAGACUCUGAUGUCACAUUACGUCUUAUAAAUUUGAACUUUUGCUGCUAUUCUUGCAAGAACGUAGCUUUAACAAGUGAUGCAUUGUGGGUCCAAGUUACGGCGUCAAAAAAUUCUAUCGAAUGAAUGUGCAGUCGUCCAAAUUUUCUCUUCGCACAGAGGGUCUGUGCUAGAAUUUGUUGGACCCCAGUGUAACACUUUUAUGGACAGAGAGGAAAUCUUAUCUCAAGGGUCAACAUGUCUUUAUUCCAAGAAAGGGGUAUAUGCCAGAAUCUUUUGAAGAACAGUCAGAAUCUAACAUGGAAAAAUGAGGAAAAACAGCCUUCCUGCUAAUCUAUAUUCUGACAAAGGGUAAUUUUGUUUUUAAUUCAGUUAGAAGUACACAUAUAAUUAUGCUCGCAUCCCUUUCAAAGAAGGGAGGGCAUAUUGCUUUGCUGCUUUCUGUCAGUCGGUUUGGUGGUCCACCUUUAGUUUUGCUUCAAUUUCUUCACAGAGGUUGCACAUAUUGAAUUUAAGUGUGGUACUAGUGUAUAUUGUUUGUUUAUAAGCAUGGGUGUAUUCAUGUGCAUAGGAAUCAUCAUAUCCAUCUUUCUGUUCAUGUGUUUGCCCACUUGUAGUCAGGGGCAUAACUCAAACAAGUUAUAAAAAAGAUAACUUAAAUAAGUUAUUUUACACACACAAAUUAAAAAAAAACAACUUAAAUUAGUUAUUUGUAUAUCCUACUUGGAGAUUGAUUUCUUGGAAAUUUUGUGUUUCCUGCCAAUAUGCAUUGCAUUUUGGGAUUCCAUUAUGUAAUACUAGAUGGAGUGCACCGACUACAAUGAAGAAUUGGUGAGGAGAUGGAGAAAAACCACAUUUACACCUUAUUUUGUGGUUUUAUCCACAUGGUGAAAACAUAUCUAAUUUUUAUUAUUAAAUAAAAAAAUUCCCCACUUUUCCCAAGACUUUGAACACUUUUCCUGCAUUGAGUUAUUUUAGAAAAAUAAUGUGUUUGAUUUACUAAGGCAAGGAGAAAGUACAGACCCUUAACUGUGCUACUACACCUCAGAAACGAACCGUACCGUGAACAAAGCAUACCAUUCCGUGCACAAAGUGAACCGGUCCGUUCACAACGCAUACCGUACCGCCCACAAAGCGAACCGUUCCGUUCACAAUGCGUACCUAGCUGUUCUUUGGUUAAUUAUGCAAACCAUGCCCCCAAUUAUUUUUGAAUCGUGUAAUGACCAAAUAAGUCAUUCAGGUUUAUUUCUUGCUACGGCGCCUGUGAAAGGAGGACGGAGAUUGUGUCUGCCUGUUCGAAACACCAUUAUCAAGUAUCAAGGGUCUGGGCCCUCAACUUUAAAAAUAAGGAAACUACUCGAAGCAAACUACAACUUCAAAACAACUAGACAGAGUGUGAGACAAUUCCUUAUUUGCUAUAAAUUAGAUCAACUGGUUGUGUUUGUGGUCAAAGGUACA